UGUCAGUUAUAAAGUUAAGGCUUAGAUGGGAACCUGAGCCAUUUUGUGUACACAAAAGAUAAGUAGAUUAAAAUAAUUCAAGAUUUAAAUUUCCUACUGGAAUAGUUGUACCAAGGGAAGAGAGUAGAAACUAAUGGAACUUUCCAUGUGGAAGAGAUUGGAGACCUCACUUUCAGGGAGACAUAAUGAAAUUUAAGCUUGGAAUCAGUGGACAGAGGGAAAGGAAGCUGCUUUGAAUAAAGGAAAUCUGGCAUCCUCCCAGGAAGAUAUAUAGCACUAAGCAUCACAGGGGUAGACAACAUCAUUAUCAUUAUCAUUCCCCAUGACCAGAGGCAACUACAAGAGGAAACAAAACUCCUUCAAAGGGGAUAGCAUCAUGUCAGAUACAAGAAGUUGCCACAAAAUA